AUGGCCACCGCCGCCGCUCCGGCGCCUCACGUUCUGGUCGUUCCGUUCCCGGCGCAGGGCCACAUGAUCCCGCUCCUCGAUCUCGCAGGCCUCCUCGCGGCCCGCGGCCUUCGCCUCACCGUCAUCGUUACCCCCGUCACUGCCCCGCUCCUCGCUCCCCUCCUCGGUGGAGCCAUCCGUGCGGUCACUCUCCCGUUUCCAACCCACCCGGCCUUCCCCGCCGGCGUCGAGAGCGCCAAGGGAUGCCCGCCCGCUCUCAUGGGCACGCUCAUCGUCGCCUUCGCGGGGCUCCGCGGUCCGCUCGGUUCCUGGGUGCGCGCCCACUCCGGCACCCCGGACCGCGUCGUCGCCAUACUCUCCGACUUCUUCUGCGGCUGGACGCAGCCGCUCGCCGCCGAGCUCGGCCUACCGCGCAUCACCUUCUCGUGCUGCGCCGUCUACGGCACCGCCGUGCUCCACUCGCUCCUGCGUCGGCUGCCCAGACGCGAGCACGAGAACGACGACGAGUGCCCGAUUCCAUUCCCAGAUCUCCCGGGCGCCCCGGCGUACCCGUGGCGGCAGCUCUCGUUGAUGUACCGGACCUACAAGGAGGGCGACGAGGUGGCAGAGGGGAUCAGGAGAAACUUCCUCUGGAACCUGGAUUGCUCGGCGUUCGUGUGUAGCACGUUCAGGAGGCUCGAGGGACGGUACCUGGAAGCGCCCCUCGCUGACAUAGGCUUUCGGCGCGUGCGCGCGGUAGGACCAUUGGCGCCAGAGGCCGACGCCGCAGGCAACCGCGGCGGAGAGACGGCGGUAACCGCGGCCGACCUCUGUGCUUGGCUCGACAAGUUCGAGGACGACAAAUCCGUCAUCUACAUCAGCUUCGGGAGCAUGGCGGUGCUGCAGCCAGCUCAUGCGGCGGCGCUGGCUGCCGCCCUGGAGCGGACGGGCGCGGCGUUCGUGUGGGCGGUAGGUCCGGCUGUGACACUCCCGGACGGGUUCGAGGAGCGUGUUGCGUCUGGCGGCAGGGGCAUGGUCAUCCGAGGAUGGGCGCCGCAGGUGGCCGCGCUACGGCACCGGGCGGUGGGUUGGUUCGUGACGCACUGUGGGUGGAACUCGGUGCUGGAGUCCGUGGCGGCCGGGGUGACCAUUCUGGCGUGGCCGAUGACUGCCGACCAGUUUGUGAACGCCCGGCUUCUCGUGGACGAGCUGCGCGCCGCCGUGCCGGUGUGUUGGGGCGGCGUUGCCACGGCGCCAAGCGCCGACGAGCUGGUUUGCGUGCUCAAGUCGACAGUGGUGGGGAAGGGGCGGGACGGGGAGUGGGGUGAUGUGGCCGCACGGACCAAGGAGCUAGCCGAGGAAGCGGGCGCGGCGGUGCGUGAAGGUGGCAGCUCGUGGCAGGAGGUGGAGGAGCUGGCACGGGAGCUCCGCGAGAUCGGGAGGUAG
rnacentral:rRNA from 1 species